rnacentral:rRNA from 1 species
AUUGAACGCUGGCGGAAUGCUUUACACAUGCAAGUCGAACGGCAGCACGGGGGCAGCCCUGGUUGCGCGUGGCGAACGGGUGAGUAAUACAUCUGAACGUGCUCGGUCGUGGGGGAGAACGUAGCGAGAGUUACGCUAAUACCGCAUACGAGCUGCUGCUGAAAGCUGGGGACCUUCGGGCCUCGCGCGCUGGUAGCGGCCGAUGUCAGGUUAGUUAGUUGGUGGGUGAAAGGCCUACCAAGCCGGCGAUCUGUAGCUGGUCUGACAGGACGAGCAGCCACACUGGGACUGAGACACGGCCCAGAGUCCUACGGGACGCAGCAGUGGGGAAUUUUAGACAAUGGGCGCAAGCCUGAUCCAGUCAUUGCGCGUGCAGGACGAAGGCCUUCGGGUUGUAAACUGCUUUUGUGCGGAACGAAAAGGCUCUGGCUAAUACCUGGGGCUCAUGACGGUACCGUAAGAAUAAGCACCGGCUAACUACGUG